AAAGCUUUACAAGAAUAAAAAAAAAAAACUUUACUUUAAAAAACCCCGACACAGACACAAGUAAAGCCUAAACCUAAGAAAAAACUCAAACACCAAAUAUGAAAUGAAAAAGAAAGAAAAACAUAAAAGAAAAAGAAAAUUGUUCAAACUCUCCGGCAUCCCUCAUCAACUUCUCUACUACCAUCGUCAAAACCAUCAAAUAUCCUACCCAUUUUUCGUCCAUGAUGGAUUGUGUGUAGAGACUGAAACCGUCGGAGUCCUUUCAUUCGCAUUUCUCUAACUCAUUUCACCUUUCUGACAGGGACCUUCUAUCUUCUUCGACCGCCGAUUCCGUUCUUGGAGGUGCCUCUUCAAUCCAAAUCUUUAGUGAAUCCCAUUGUUUCCCUUCCUCCGCCAUUAUGUGCACCACGUGGUUCACCAAUCUGCCUGUAAAAUGACAGAUUUUUGAAUCCCAAAUCUUCAGCCACUACCACCAUUUGUAAACAAGCUCUCACCUCUGCAGUGGUUGAAUUAGCCACAAAGGUAUUAGGGACACAUUUAAUGAACGUGCAUUCCCAGAAGACAUGACUCACUGAUUAUUCCAGUGCAUGACAAAGAGGACAAAGAUUCACAACUUGUAAAUUUCUAUCUUUUAAAUUGUUAAAAGUAGGGAGGAAUUUAUUGGCAAUUCUCCAAGAUGUAAUUUUGAUUUUGCUUGCAACCUAUAAUCUCCAUAAUUUGUUGUAAAAUUUCUGUAGUA